AGCAAUGCCGCGUGUGUGAAGAAGGCCUGCSGGUUGUAAAGCACUUUCAGUGGGGAAGAMAAGCUUGGUGUGAAUAGCGCCGAGUCUUGACGUUACCCAAAGAAGAAGCACCGGCUAACUCCGUGCCAGCAGCCGCGGUAAUACGGAGGGUGCGAGCGUUAAUCGGAAUCACUGGGCGUAAAGCGCGCGUAGGCAGCAGAGUAAGUCGGGUGUGAAAGCCCUGGGCUUAACCCAGGAACUGCAUUCGAUACUGCUUAGCUAGAGUAUGGUAGAGGGAAGCGGAAUUCCGGGUGUAGCGGUGAAAUGCGUAGAGAUCCGGAGAACACCAGUGGCGAAGGCGGCUUCCUGGACCAAUACUGACGCUGAGGGUGCGAAAGCGUGGGGAGCAACAGGAUAGAUACCUGGUAGUCACGCCUAACGAUGUCGACUAGCCGUUGGGCCCAAUUAAGGGUUUAGUGGCGCASUAACGCGUUAAGUCGACGCUGGGAGUACGGCCGCAAGUAAAACCUCAAAUGAUUGACGGGAUGCAUGAUAUCGAUUCCUGCAGCCG
rnacentral:rRNA from 1 species